rnacentral:tRNA from 1 species
AGGAACUUUUCUAAUUGGCAAUAGAGCAGGGUCGCUACCUGUGGAGUUGGUUCGAUUCCAGCAGUUCCUU